ACGUGUUAUUAUUCAAAAAUUAUGUCCUCACAGAAAGCAUUCCUAUGUUGUGGUCGGAGACUACUUGUCGUGGUCAGAUGUUGAAAACUUGUGCAGCGUCGACAUGAUUUUCCGGCAAGGAUGAUUUGAGGACGUAACCUUUCGAGCUUCUUGGACGUCCACAGUGUGUUGGCUGAUGGAUUUGACCUUGUUUACUAUCAAUUCAUGAGUUGCAAUUUUUUCUGCAGGAUAGUAGUCCGCUUGGAAUACUUCCUCGACGAUCAUUUUUUUCUCAUCAUCAAAAUCAUUGGUAAAUCCUCAUUCCUCUCCUUCAAUGAUCAUAAGGGAAAAGUUAUCUUCUAAUAUGAAGUAAAUGACCCACAAGCCGGGGCGGAACCAGGAGUAGACGAUUAGGGGGGCCAAAAAUAAGGUUUCAACAAAUCCAAAUUGUCGGGUCAAGAUAUGUUUAAACGAUUUAAAUAAUUAUUAAAAUUAAUAAAUCAUUAUUAAAAAUAAGUUAAUAAAAAAUGAGAACAUUCUAAGUAUGCUAUAGAAAUUUGAACAUCAGUGAUGAACCAGUAGAAAAAUACAAAGGACAAAUUACGACGACGGUCCUGUGUUUUGCUUCUCGUGUCAUUUUGGUCCUCAUGAUUUUAAUUGGCUCGAUUUUGACCAUAAAUUUAUGAUUUUGCCUUAAUUUGGUCCAAAUGAUUACUACUCUUAAUUUUUUUUUAUUUAUGAAAAUACACACAUAAAUGGCAUCUGCGUAUUUUUAAGGAAAAAAUAAUAAACUUAUUCAACUCAGUGAGUUAAUUUUAAUCAAUUCAGCGAUAAUUUUUUGUAAAAAAUACUAACGAUAUUAUCAAUUAUAUCAAUUUGACACAAAAUCUAAAAUUAAUGAUCAAAUUUGAAUCAAUUGAAAAUGUAGGGACCAAAUUAGAUAAGAGGCAAAAUAUACAGACUAGUGGCGUAAUUCGCCCAAAUACAAAUAAUAAGUAAUGUCACAUAAUUUACAUUAUAUAUGGAUAGUAUUAUAGUAAUAGAUUAUAGAUCACACUGUAUAAAAGGUACAUACCAUAUGCUAUUUUAAAACUACAUCAUAAUUAAUGAUUCGUAACAAAGCCGUAAUACUUCAUAACUUUUGUCAACACAAUAAUUUGUAACAUUAAUGUUCAUAACAUGGGUGAUGCUAUGGUACAUUUAGAUGUACCAUACAUUUAGUUAUGAACUUGUAUGAUUUUAUGUCAUAACCAACACCAUAUUAGUCAUAACUACUACCAUAUUAGUUUAUAACUUAAUUAUAUUCAGUUAUUUAUUUAUACUAUAUCACCUCAUAACUAAGUCAUAACUAAAUUAUUUAAAUAAUUUAACUCUCAAACAGGCAACCGGUCUAGCUGGUUACAAGGGGAACAAAAUUGAAUCAGUCGUGUUUGGCCCUCUUGUUGGCUCUUCUCCUCCCUCUUCUCUUCCCUCUUCUCUUCCGCCAUAGCCGAAGCUUCCGAGGACCACCAGCCUCGUCAGCGAUCCGGGCUUUAGCCAUAUCGACAUCUUCUUCACAAGCUCUCACUCUCUGGACGUCUCCACCAUGGGUUUGUGAGCAAAGACCCAGUCAUCGCCUUUUCCCUUCCCUUCUAGUCGAAUCGAAUUUUUCCGAGAACUCUUUUCCGUAGUUAAGGAUAUUGUAGAAAAAAAAAGUUAGCAAAGAACCAUGACCAACUGCAUACACUACAAAAGGCAGGGCAUUGAAUUUCAUUCCAUCUUAAUGCACCCAUGACCAUCAAGCAUUGCUGGGUGUUAUAUCUGGAAAGUUCUGUAUGUGCUGUCAAACUUUUGUUUGUCUCGUGGUCAUAUUAUAUUGAACAAGAUUUCUAUUUGUGCAAUUCAACUUAUUGCUCAUAAUGCCUUUUCUUCGUGGGUAGCUCUACUAGCAGAUCGAAAUUGUAGGAUAUCGUGUCACUGGAGCAGCUUUUUUACUGUGUCAAGUUUUCUUCAUAUGAUGUACAUUCUUAGCGCAAGAUCAUAAAAGAGGUAUCAUAACUUACUUAAAUCCAACCAACUAUGGCAUGCACAUUUGUUAAUCCUUCUAGAAGUUUUGCACUGUUGCCUUGGGUUCAAGAUGGAUUUUACGAGGAAUUGGUAUUAUGGUUAAAGUGCUUUUCUUUUUAUCUAUUUUCAUUCAUUUUUAAAUUUUAUUUAUUUAUAUUUUGCCUUAAAAAAUGUGGAUAUUUAUCUCAAAUUUUGGAUUCGAAUUUUUUACGCGUCACAUACUCCACAAAAUUGUUAGGUGCAUAUCACAUAGUGUAUCUAUUUCUUUUGAACUAUUCGGUUUUUUUUUUUCUUUUUCAGUGUUUAAAUUUUUGGAUUUUAGGUUUAUUUGUAUGAAAAUUUUGGUUAUAUUAUCCUGAUGUUUUACAUAUUUAGUUACUAAUUUUGGCUGCUUUGAAAAUUGCUGUUGGUUAAUUGAUGCUUUUACGUUUGUCUUGGUGUGUAGACUUGAUAACUGAAAUUAGUUUAUGCAAUAAAUUAUGGAUGAUGCAGACACUAAAUAGAAUUUUGAUCAGGAUUUUCAAACCAUUGGUUACCUGACCUUGGAUUUGGAUGAUUAGUGAUUGGAUGAUUAUGUGGUGUUAUAUUUUUUCAGUAAUUAGUGUUUUGAAACCUUUAGUUGCAACUUACAUCUCCUGUUUGGGUGAUUACUUUUAUAGCUGACCAUCCUAAUUGUUCUUUUUUACUAUGAUAUUUAUUCUAGCUUCUUUGGUUUGAUCUACACUAACCAAAAAGUUAGCAAAGAACCAUGACCAACUGCAUACACUAAAAAAUGCAGGGCAUUGAAUCUUUAAUCCAUCUUAAUGCACUCAUGACCAUCAAGCAUUGGUGGCUGUUAUAUCUGUAAAGUUCUGUAUGUGCUGUCAAACUUUUGUUUGUCUCUUGGUCAUAUUAUAUUGAACUAGAUUUCUAUUUGUGUAAUUUAACAUAUUGCUCAUAAUUUCUUUUCUUCGUAGGUAGCUCCACUAGCUGAUCGAAACAGUACAAUAUCGUGUAACUAGAGUAGCUUCUUACAGUGUCUACUUUUCUUCAUAUGAAGUGCUUUUUUAGCAUAGGAUGAUUAUGUGGUGGAUCUUCCUGGGAUUGCAAAGUUACGAUUCCCAUCAUUUAUAUUUUUUCAUUAAUUGGUGUUUUGAAACUAUUCACCAUUUUGGGUGAUUAUAUGGACUGUUGUCGCCUGCGAUGUAACAUAUUAUUCCACUGAUGGUAAAUGUUUAAUCUAUAAUUUCAAUAUUUAAUUUUGAUUAAAUUUUUAAUUCAAAUGUUAAGACUCAUGCCAUUAAUCAUGGGUCACUGGCACCACCGCUGGCAGCCGAUUGGCGACCACAGUUGCCGAACCCAAAUGAUCUUCAACUCUUUGCAAUGUCAGUGUUUCGAACCUCGAACAAUUUCUCCUUUUUGCUAUCACUGUUUUUGGUGAUGUUGCUUCUUGGCUACAUUUAAUGUCCUCAAGAAAUAAGAGUCUAUUGAGGGCUAGAAGUAACAGUGACAUAAUUUUUCAACCCUUCUUUAAUAAAUGAAUCUUUCAUAAGUUUUUAGAAAUUAAUUAUUCAAUAACAAACUUGUUUAGAAAAAAUGCAUUGGUUCAUGGUGUUCUACAUUUACUAGAUUCAGUGACUUUGUUUAGGGCGAGAGAGAAAGAAUUGGGUUUUUGCACUGUGGUGGUGCGUGGGGACCCACAUGGUUGUUGUCCUAGGUAAAAACUGAAGUGAUAGUAGAAGAAAUGGAAUAGAAAAGUUAUGGAAUUUUGGUAGUUAUGUUGCCUUAUUGACAUUACUGUUUUUGUUUAUGUACAAAAGUUUUUAUUUGAUUUCUUUUAUUUACUUGAAUUAUGAGAUAAGCUCUCUUUACUAACAUUUUUUUAAUUUAUAUUUCUGGUAAAAAAAUCCAGGAGUCGUUAAUAUUAACCACACCACUGUUUCUGCAAGAGAGUUGCAAUAUCUGUUUUUCUCCAGCUCAAAGCACAUGCACACCACACUGUUGUGUUUCUUUUUUGUAUCUAAAGGAUACAUUGUUGAGUUGACUGUAGUUGUUUUGUCUUUUUCUUGGUCACUCCUUUGGUUUUUCCUUUUGCUGGUUUUUUCUCGAACUGAGGCUUGCUGCAUUACUUCUGAGGUUUGCUUUCGUGUUCUUCUCUUGCUCUCUUUCAUCAAUUUUGGUGUUCUUCAAGUCAUUGGACUUUCUGUUCUUUCAAUGACAGGGUUCGCUUUCGAAUAUCGUUGGUUUUCUUUCUGCAGCUGAAUACUAUUCUGUUACUUUUCUAAGAUUUGUUUUUGUUUUCUUCUCUUGCUCUCUUUCAUUAAUUUCUAUUUUCUUACCAUUUUCAUUUUGUGUUUUCCUGGUGUUCUUUCUGCAUCUGAAGCUGAAGAGUGUUUUCGUUACCUGAAGAGUGAGAUUUAUUUUUGUGUUCUUCUCUUGCUCUCUCUAAUUAAUUUCUAUUUUCCUACCAUGUUCGUUUUAUGUUUUCCUGGUGUUCUUUCUGCAUCUGAAGCUGAAGAGUGUUUUCGUUACCUGAAGAGUGAGAUUUAUUUUUGUGUUCUUCUCUUGCUCUCUCUAAUUAAUUUCUAUUUUCCUACCAUGUUCGUUUUAUGUUUUCCUGGUGUUCUUUCUGCAUCUGAAGCUGAAGAGUGUUUUCGUUACCUGAAGAGUGAGAUUUAUUUUUGUGUUCUUCUCUUGCUCUCUCUAAUUAAUUUCUAUUUUCCUACCAUGUUCGUUUUAUGUUUUCCUGGUGUUCUUUCUGCAUCUGAAGCUGAAGAGUGUUUUCGUUACCUGAAGAGUGAGAUUUAUUUUUGUGUUCUUGUCUUGCUCUCUCUAAUUAAUUUCUAUUUUCUUACCAUGUUCGUUUUGUGUUUUCCUGGUGUUCUUUUGCAUCUGAAACUGAAGAGUGGUUUCGUUACUUUCUGAGGUUUGUUUGCAUUUUCUUCUCUUACUCCUGCGAUUGUUUCCCAUUUUGUUUUCUAACCUUUUUCUAUUACUUCGUUUUCUUUUAUUUUACAUGACAACUCAGCUCGUCUUUUGGUUUUGCUUUGAGUUUUGUUUCAUUUCAUUUUAUUUGUUACAUGUUUUUCUUUUUAAUUUAUUUUUCUGCAGAUUGGCUGGAUCUUGAAUGAGUAUCGAAUGACUUGAUCUCUUAACUAUGGCUGGUUCUUGAUUUUUUUGACUAUAACUUGGCUGGGGAUGGUUUUGUGACUGUAACAUGAUUUUGUUUGUUGAAUUGACAACUAUGAUACAAUAUAACUGGGACUACUGAUACACUUGUGGACGCAAGAAUAGCUGGCAUCAACAUUAUCUUUGGAAGAUAGGCAAGGGGAGUCCUACGAUUCUGUUUGUAAGUCAAAUGCUCAUUGAUGUUGUUCCAAACAAACUGAGUGCUUACUGUGCAAAAUGUGAGCUCUAUCUUUCAUGCAUUUUUCUUUCUUACUUUUAUAGCUGACCAUCCUUAUUGUUCUUUUUGACUAUGAUAUUUAUUCUAGCUUCUUGGGUUUGAUCUACACUAACUACCGUGCAACCUAAAUCAAACUUAUGUUGGGAUGAUACAAACUUAUUUUUUUCUAAAUUUGUGCUUUGGAAUAUAUUUAAAGCAUAUUGGUUUCUUUUUAUGUUUGAGGGUGCCUUUACCAAAGAGAUGUUCCCACAGGCUAUAGAAGAAAAAAAAAGUUAAGAAAGAACCAUGACCAACUGCAUACACUAAAAAAUGCAGGGCUUUGAAUCUUCAAUCCAUCUUAAUGCACUCAUGACCAUCAAGCAUUGGUGGCUGUUAUAUCUGUAAAGUUCUGUAUGUGCUGUCAAACUUUUGUUUGUCCCUUGGUCAUAUUAUAUUGAACAAGAUUUCUAUUUGUGUAAUUUAACAUAUUGCUCAUAAUUUCUUUUCUUCGUAGGUAGCUCUACUAGCUGAUCGAAAUAGUACAAUAUCGUGCUAUUGGAGUAGCUUCUUACGGUGUCUACUUUUCUUCAUAUGAAGUGCUUUUUUAGCAUAGGAUGAUUAUGUGGUGGAUCUUCCUGUGAUUGCAAAGUUACGAUUCUCAUCAUUUAUAUUUUUUCAUUAAUUGGUGUUUUGAAACUAUUCACCAUUUUGGGUGAUUAUAUGGACUGUUGUCGCCUGCGAUGUAACAUAUUAUUCCACUGAUGGUGAAUGUUUAAUCUAUAAUUUCAAUAUUUAAUUUUGAUUAAA